rnacentral:misc_RNA from 1 species
CCCCUCUCCCUGACCCACCAUAUCCAGCAUCUUGAUAUCGUGACCCUCCAGAAUAUCCACCUGCACGUGUCCCUCUUGAAUAACCACCACCAGUGCCUUGGCCUAAUGCCGGUGGUCUCCCACUCCCAACAUUAUACCCCGUACGCCCUGAGCCUUGCCUCCCCUGAGUGAAAGACGAAUUGUCUUGCCACUUGCCACCUGCAGCAACCAUGCUAGCAUAAUCCUGGCUAUCUUUCCGCCUC